CCAAUGGGACUGAGACCCGGCCCCUAUUCCUACGGGAGGCAGCAGUAGGGAAUCUUCCCCAAUGGGGCCAAGCCUGAUGGAGCAACACCGCGUGAGUGAAGAAGGGUUUCGGCUCGUAAAGCUCUGUUGUUAAAGAAGAACACGUAUGAGAGUAACUGUUCAUACGUUGACGGUAUUUAACCAGAAAGUCACGGCUAACUACGUGCCAGCAGCCGCGGUAAUACGUAGGUGGCAAGCGUUAUCCGGAUUUAUUGGGCGUAAAGAGAGUGCAGGCGGUUUUCUAAGUCUGAUGUGAAAGCCUUCGGCUUAACCGGAGAAGUGCAUCGGAAACUGGAUAACUUGAGUGCAGAAGAGGGUAGUGGAACUCCAUGUGUAGCGGUGGAAUGCGUAGAUAUAUGGAAGAACACCAGUGGCGAAGGCGGCUACCUGGUCUGCAACUGACGCUGAGACUCGAAAGCAUGGGUAGCGAACAGGAUUAGAUACCCUGGUAGUCCAUGCCGUAAACGAUGAGUGCUAGGUGUUGGAGGGUUUCCGCCCUUCAGUGCCGGAGCUAACGCAUUAAGCACUCCGCCUGGGGAGUACGACCGCAAGGUUGAAACUCAAAGGAAUUGACGGGGGCCCGCACAAGCGGUGGAGCAUGUGGUUUAAUUCGAAGCUACGCGAAGAACCUUACCAGGUCUUGACAUCUUGCGCCAACCCUAGAGAUAGGGCGUUUCCUUCGGGAACGCAAUGACAGGUGGUGCAUGGUCGUCGUCAGCUCGUGUCGUGAGAUGUUGGGUUAAGUCCCGCAACGAGCGCAACCCUUGUUACUAGUUGCCAGCAUUAAGUUGGGCACUCUAGUGAGACUGCCGGUGACAAACCGGAGGAAGGUGGGGACGACGUCAGAUCAUCAUGCCCCUUAUGACCUGGGCUACACACGUGCUACAAUGGACGGUACAACGAGUCGCGAACUCGCGAGGGCAAGCAAAUCUCUUAAAACCGUUCUCAGUUCGGACUGCAGGCUGCAACUCGCCUGCACGAAGUCGGAAUCGCUAGUAAUCGCGGAUCAGCAUGCCGCGGUGAAUACGUUCCCGGGCCUUGUACACACCGCCCGUCACACCAUGAGAGUUUGUAACACCCAAAGUCGGUGGGGUAACCUUUAGGAGCCAGCCGCAU
rnacentral:rRNA from 2 species